rnacentral:tRNA from 1 species
GGGGAUGUAGCUCUGUUGGUAGAGUGCUUGCCUACCAUGCAGGAAGCACUGGGUUCAAUUCCCAGCACCA